UACGUAGGGUGCGAGCGUUAAUCGGAAUUACUGGGCGUAAAGCGUGCGCAGGCGGUUUUGUAAGUCUGUCGUGAAAUCCCCGGGCUUAACCUGGGAAUUGCGAUGGAGACUGCAAGGCUAGAAUCUGGCAGAGGGGGGUAGAAUUCCACGUGUAGCAGUGAAAUGCGUAGAGAUGUGGAGGAACACCGAUGGCGAAGGCAGCCCCCUGGGUCAAGAUUGACGCUCAUGCACGAAAGACGUGGGGAGCAACGAGGUAGA
rnacentral:rRNA from 1 species